CGAAAUUGAUUCUCGCUAAAAUGGCCGCCUCUUCUGAAGCAGACCGCCAAGAAGAACGCUCUUUAACAAUAUAAACCAAUCAAUCUGUGUGGGCACUCGUUGAUGAUAAUCAAAAAAGAUUUAUCAAUGAACUGAG
rnacentral:rRNA from 1 species